AGUGAACGCUGGCGGUAGGCCUAACACAUGCAAGUCGAACGGCAGCACAGUAAGAGCUUGCUCUUACGGGUGGCGAGUGGUGGACGGGUGAGGAAUACAUCGGAAUCUACUUUUUCGUGGGGGAUAACGUAGGGAAGCUUACGCUAAUACCGCAUACGACCUACGGGUGAAAGCAGGGGAUCUUCGGACCUUGCGCGAUUGAAUGAGCCGAUGUCGGAUUAGCUAGUUGGCGGGGUAAAGGCCCACCAAGGCGACGAUCCGUAGCUGGUCUGAGAGGAUGAUCAGCCACACUGGAACUGAGACACGGUCCAGACUCCUACGGGAGGCAGCAGUGGGGAAUAUUGGACAAUGGGCGCAAGCCUGAUCCAGCCAUACCGCGUGGGUGAAGAAGGCCUUCGGGUUGUAAAGCCCUUUUGUUGGGAAAGAAAAGCAGCAGGUUAAUACCCCGCUGUUCUGACGGUACCCAAAGAAUAAGCACCGGCUAACUUCGUG
rnacentral:rRNA from 1 species